UACGAAGGGGGCUAGCGUUGCUCGGAAUCACUGGGCGUAAAGCGCACGUAGGCGGCUUUCUAAGUCAGGGGUGAAAUCCUGGAGCUCAACUCCAGAACUGCCUUUGAUACUGGAGAGCUUGAGUCCGGAAGAGGUGAGUGGAACUCCGAGUGUAGAGGUGAAAUUCGUAGAUAUUCGGAAGAACACCAGUGGCGAAGGCGGCCCACUGGUCCGGUACUGACGCUGAGGUGCGAAAGCGUGGGGAGCAAACAGG
rnacentral:rRNA from 1 species